rnacentral:rRNA from 1 species
CCGGCGCACGGUGAGUAACACGUACCCAACCUGCCGUCUACUCUUGGCCAGCCUUCUGAAAGGAAGAUUAAUCCAGGAUGGCAUCAUGAGUUCACAUGUCCGCAUGAUUAAAGGUAUUUUCCGGUAGACGAUGGGGAUGCGUCCAUUAGAUAGUAGGCGGGGUAACGGCCCACCUAGUCAACGAUGGAUAGGGGUUCUGAGAGGAAGGUCCCCCACAUUGGAACUGAGACACGGUCCAA